ACCGUUCUAUUUUUCUUCUGCACAACCUUUGAAAUGCCUCAACCCCGACAAACCAAAACCAAUCUUCUUAUCGCGUCUCUUUUUAUCUCGUCGACUUUCCUUACACGAUAACACAAUCCUCCAAUCUCUCUUCUUGAUCCCUCAUUUAGUCUUUGUUCAGUUCGCAAUCCCCAAUUUCGAGGGUUCCGAUUUUUAAUCUCCUUACUUGCCGAAUUAGAGCCGUCCAGCAUCAAGAUCUAUUAUUCUAAUUUAGUCCUAUUUCUUGCGUGGGCAACUCAAUGUUAUCGAAUUCUGGUUCAGAAAGAUGCUAAUUAGGUUGAUUUUUUUCAGGCAAUAUCUAAAGCAAUUGGGUGUUGGUCUAUGGUGGAGAUCGCCAUAUCGGAGCUGGGAGGUGAAACAACUUGUGGUGCUCAACUGUGGAGCCGCGAGGAGGAAGAAGAUGAGUGUCAGGUCGCGUGGGGGAAUCAUCUGGUGCCCAGUGACUUUGUACAUAUGUAGAGGAAAAACAUGUGUUUGAUCCCAAUGGCUCUUAUGGUAUGCACACUCAACUUUAUUAGUAAAUUAUCCCAUUACAGGUUGUUAUGAUGUCAAUUGAGUAACAUCUUGGAUGUCUUUGGCUUAUAUAAUCUUUGAUUAUGAGUUAUGAACCACAUAACUUUUUCCUUGUUGCACCUCCUGACAUGACCGGGUUCUUGGGACCUCAAAGAUGAAGGUCUUUGCAAGUACUGCUGUAACUCUUUUUCUUUGUUGGCUCUAUCCUUUAUUCACUAGUUAGGCUGUGUAGUUUUUCUCAUUCUGUGUGGAAAACUUUAUUUAGGUGUUUUACACACCAUUCCUAAGACAUAUAGGGCACGUUUGUUACCCCGGAUUUGUUGGAAUUGGACUAUACAAUGAAAGAAGUUAGUCCGAAACCUUGUUUGGGAAAACACGGGAUUAGCUUUAAUGAGAUUAGCUAAUCCACGCAUCUCCAAUUUUCGGGAUUACGGAGAGGUGCCGAAUUCGGGCGGACUGUCUAAUCCGCGCGUCUCCUUCUUCAUCCUCUCGCCUCCUCUCGCCCCUUCACUCACUCCAAUUCAAGCCCAGAAAUAUCGAAACAACCUUUAAUCCUCGAAGAGCGAUGAAGAACAAGAAACCUAGAUAAAAACCCCAAUAAUCGAAUUAGCCAAUAAAUCAAUCAAACUAAAUCACCAGGAUGAAGAAGACGACAAGAGGAAUGAUUCCCAUACCAAGUUCGAUUGAAUUGGUAGCUAGAAACGCCGAUGGCACCCGAAAGCUUGACACUGCUCACUCGCGUCCUUCGUCCACGGUCGUCGGUUGGGAGAAACUGGAGCUGAGGCACAUCGGCGGAGCUGAGGAGAUUUGAACAAAGGUGACGCGGUGGUUGGAGCAAAGCUGACGACGGAGGAGGACGACGGUUUGGUGCGGGGUCGUCGGGUCACAAAGGAAGGAGCAGAGUGAAGACUCGAUGAAUUUGAGAAAAUGUACGAGUAAAAACCUUCUCUCAAACCCAAUAUAUAAAACCAAUUAUUCAAGGGCUGAGAAGAAACGACUAGAUCCUACGGCCGUACUGCACCAUAAAGAAUUCACAAGUUUUUCAAAUAAUUUCUUAUAUUUCAAACUUUAGGAAAUUAUAUAAAUAACUCGAGAACUCAUAAAAUUCUCCGAACUCGUCGUAAUGUGUAUGACUUUCUGUUCGCUAGUCCGAGACUGCACCAAACAUGGGUCAUGAAUUACUAUACCCUAAUCCGAAUCAGCACAGUCCUGGAGUAAGCAGAGACUUAAUCUGAGAUUAGACAGUUCGGGGUAACAAACAUGCCCAUACAGAUUUGGUUGAGCCUUACACCAACCACAAAGAGUAAUUUAAUUUAUCUCCAACUUGGAUGCUAGUUAUAGUUGUGUCAUUGUUCCUGGUGGACUGCAUGAGACAUUUCUUAUGGUGAUGAGGACAUCAUGCCAACCCUUUCAAGGUGAAGAGAUGAAAAAAUAGAGCAGCUGAUCAUUACCUUUCUUUAUGGUUGAUUAAUUGAUCGCAGAAUUUUAAUUAGCAGCUGAGAAGAAGUCUGAUUCAAAGAGUUUUUAGGCUUAGUGUUAUUUCAAGAGUUUACUUGUGUCCUUUUGAAUCUGUUCAGUUUAGGAGUAUUAAGUUUUUAUUUAUUAGGUCUUUUAUGUUUCAGUUUCUGAAUUUCAAGAGUCCUAAAGAGUCUUAAAAGCUAGUUAGUGUCAGUUAUAGAACCUAGUAUAAAUAACUGUAAAAGCCAAUGGGCUGAGAUAGGCUAUGUUGAAUAAUAAUAUCAGUGUUUAUUGAAUUUUCCUGUGAUAGGUUUAAGGUGAGAAAUCUGGGAGAGAUUCCCAAAUUAUAGUGUUUUGGGUGUGAAGCCUACUAGGGUGUGAAACCUGGGAGUGAAUCCUAAAAUCAGUGUGUGCUUAACCUACAGUUCUUAGAGCUUGUGAUCCAGGUUCCUAAGAAGCUACUGUGCUGCAUCAUAUGGAGCAUGGUAAAGAUGUAGACAUUUUAUGCUCGGCUCAUUUUUUAGUUGUAUUGCAUAAUCAUCUGUUGCUAUUUCUGGAUGUAGGGCAUCAUUGUAUUCACAACAAAUAUAUCAAAAUGUCAAAUAGCUCAAGUUGCGAAACUAGAUUUCCUCUUAUUAGCUAGGGAAGCAUAUGGUCCAUAUUAUACAUUCCCUAAUUUAACUAGCAGGCAUGUGAGACAUUUUUUCUUUUUAUCUAGUUAUAAUUCCAGUACUAAUUGCAUACUUCGCAAAAAAUUGAUUUCAAUUCAUGUUUUUUUGUGAUACCAGAACUUGAUUGAAGGACAAAUGCAAGGCACUUCACUAUGAGCUGCUCUUUUCUGUUGGUGCCUACCCUGUGACUGUUUAUGUACCUUGCUUCUAUCUAUUUUUUAUUUGAGAUUGAUGGUUUUGUUACUGGUGAGUUGUGAUAUUGCCUAUUUAAAAGCUUUAUGUGCAUGUACUUAUAUACACAGACAAUCAUUGAUAAUUACAGGUUGAUAUACAUAUUGGUCCAUUUCUUGCAUAAGGCUUAGGUUUGGCUGCGUACAUGCAUACAUCUCUUAUAAGUUUAUACCUUUCAAGACUUUUCAUUCAAUGCAAUUGUUCUCUUCCUUUGUGCUAUUUUUGUAAUCCAUAUUCAUCUUUCCUACUUUUCAAUUGGUUGAGGAGAAAAUAUAACAAAACCCGGUGGUUAUAUAAUGAUGCCAAUUCAAUUCUUCUGAAAGAUUUAACAAUGUCCAUAAUCAAUUUUUUCCCAUUGAUCUAACAAUUUUUUUUUCUUUUUUCAGUUUUUAUUGAACAUGCAGUUUGCUCUCUGUGUCCUUAUUGACACAAGAGGAGUAUCUGAAUUGGGUAAGGGUUACAGAAAGACGACUUACCUGCUAAAAGAAAAGGCAGACUGCAUCCAUAUAUGUUCUUCGUUACAUUGAUAUUCAAUUUCUUUUUCCCUACUGACACUAGAACUAUGCAUUUUGAAAAUUUUCAUGAACUUUGAGUGUACCAUUUUGUUACUGUAAUGUACAUAUUCUUUCUCAUUAACCUAUUAGAGUACAAUACCCUAUUAGAGAAGAUUCCUUCUUCUGUUUAUCCUACUUUGCUCCUAGGUCCUCAUUAAUUCUCCGGAAUCUUCAAUUAUUGUGUCUUUCACAUUUAUGCAGGCAUUGGAACACCUUGAUGGUAGUAGGUACUUUUUAGACAAGUCUGUAAAUUUUAUUAUUAUUAAUUUUUUUAGUUCUCAUAUAAGACAGUAUUUGGAGCAGAUUCUUCCUGACCUCUCUCACAUACCAAUGCAAUUCACUUUUGGAGUUAUUAAGCAGAAAGAUUAUCGUUGGUUAUAGAGAGGUUUAAGCAUGCAUGUCAGCAUCCAAAUUCAAAAGUGGAUCCCAAAAGUCUAAUUUGAAGCAUCCUAGAUGCCAAAUUCCUACAUGUAUUGGACCAUUGUUGAUGCAGCUACAUGACUGUUACAUGUUCUAAAAAGCUAUAGACUUAUAGAGCCAUCUAGAGAUUGUUGAGAAGAGAAGUUGAACUUAGCAACCGGUUGAUGAGGUCCAAGGUGAAUGAGCUAAGCUUUGUAUGGUUUGGUUAUGUAUAUGAUGAAGUAAUAGAACUAUCUUUGGUUUAAUUGAAACUGAAUAUAGAUUGAUUGUACUUCAGUUGAAGAUGUAAUGACAAUUGAAGUUUAAUAGCCUUUUGAAAUGAACGUGGUUUAAAUGGUUUUAAGGUUGUUAUCAGCCUAUGAGUAAUAUGAAGGGUUCAAUUGUGAUUGUA